ACGCUCGACACCUACGGGAGGUAGCAGUGGGGAAUAUUGCACAAUGGGGGAAACCCUGAUGCAGCAACGCCGCGUGAAGGAAGACGGUUUUCGGAUUGUAAACUUCUGUUCUUAGUGAAGAUAGUGACGGUAGCUAAGGAGCAAGCCACGGCUAACUACGUACCAGCAGCCGCGGUAAUCUGAGCGGGCUGGCAAGGC
rnacentral:rRNA from 1 species